rnacentral:rRNA from 1 species
GCGUCCCUACGGGGCGCAGCAGUGGGGGAUAUUGGACAAUGGGGGGAACCCUGAUCCAGCGACGCCGCGUGAGUGAAGAAGUAUUUCGAUAUGUAAAGCUCUGUCAGCAGGGAAGAAAGCAAUGACGGUACCUGACCAAGAAGCCCCGGCUAACUACGUGUCAGCAGCCGCGGUAAUACGUAGGGGGCAAGCGUUAUCCGGAAUUACUGGGUGUAAAGGGAGCGUAGACG